rnacentral:rRNA from 1 species
GACGAACGCUGGCGGCGUGCUUAACACAUGCAAGUCGAACGGUGAAAGCGGAGCUUGCUCCGCUGGAUCAGUGGCGAACGGGUGAGUAACACGUGGGCAACCUGCCCCUCACUUCGGGAUAACUCCGGGAAACCGGGGCUAAUACCGGAUAUGACCUCCUUGGGCAUCCUUGGAGGUGGAAAGGUUUUCGGUGAGGGAUGGGCCCGCGGCCUAUCAGCUUGUUGGUGAGGUAGUGGCUCACCAAGGCGACGACGGGUAGCCGGCCUGAGAGGGCGACCGGCCACACUGGGACUGAGACACGGCCCAGACUCCUACGGGAGGCAGCAGUGGGGAAUAUUGCGCAAUGGGCGAAAGCCUGACGCAGCAACGCCGCGUGCGGGAUGACGGCCUUCGGGUUGUAAACCGCUUUCAGCAGGGAAGAAGCGAAAGUGACGGUACCUGCAGAAAAAGCACCGGCUAACUACGUGCCAGCAGCCGCCGUAA